CUUGGUCAUUUAGAGGAAGUAAAAGUCGUAACAAGGUUUCCGUAGGUGAACCUGCGGAAGGAUCAUUAGUGAAUUAAACAUGCUUGGUGUCUUCGCUUCGGCAGGGCCCUUGCUUAAAUCACAUCCUAACACCUGUGAACUGUAAGACGUAUGAUGAGGUCUUUGGCCAAGUCAUCGUCUGCCCAUUUUUAACAAACAAUUAAUGUAACAAACGUAGUCUUAUUAUAACCUAAUAAAACUUUCAACAACGGAUCUCUUGGCUCUCGCAUCGAUGAAGAACGCAGCGAAAUGCGAUAAGUAAUGUGAAUUGCAGAAUUCAGUGAAUCAUCGAAUCUUUGAACGCACCUUGCGCUCUUUGGUAUUCCGAAGAGCAUGCCUGUUUGAGUGUCAUGAAAAUAUCAACCUUGACUUGGGUUUUGUGCUCUAGUCUUGGCUUGGAAUUGGGUGCUUGCCGCUUUUACGAGCGGCUCACCUUAAAUGUAUUAGCUGGAUCUGUCUUUGAGACUUGGUUUGACUUGGCGUAAUAAGUAUUUCGCUAAGGACAUUCUUCGGAGUGGCCCCGUUUCUAGGACGCUUGUCCGCUUCCCAAUACAAGUUCCACCUCGUGGACAUGACUUUUUUAUUAUCUGGCCUCAAAUCAGGUAGGACUACCCGCUGAACUUCAGCAUAUCAAUAAGCGGAGGAAAAGAAACUAACCAAGGAUUCCCCUAGUAACGGCCGAGUGAAGACGGGAAAAGCCUCAAAAUUUGAAAUCCUGGUAACCUCAGG
rnacentral:rRNA from 1 species